UAGGGAAUCUUCGGCAAUGGACGAACGUCUGACCGAGCAACGCCGCGUGAGUGAAGAAGGUUUUCGGAUCGUAAAACUCUGUUGUUAGAGAAGAACAAGGACGUUAGUAACUGAACGUCCCCUGACGGUAUCUAACCAGAAAGCCACGGCUAACUACGUGCCAGCAGCCGCGGUAAGACGUAGGUGGCAAGCGUUGUCCGGAUUUCUUGGGCGUAAAGCGAGCGCAGGCGGUUUAUUAAGUCGGAUGUGAAAGCCCCCGGCUCAACCGGGGAGGGUAAUUGGAAACUGGGAGACUUGAGUGCAGAAGAGGAGAGUGGAAUUCCAUGUGUAGCGGUGAAAUGCGUAGAUAUAUGGAGGAACACCAGUGGCGAAGGCGGCUCUCUGGUCUGUAACUGACGCUGAGGCUCGAAAGCGUGGGGAGCAAACAGG
rnacentral:rRNA from 1 species